rnacentral:miRNA from 1 species
ACAAACCUAACACCAACAC